AACAACUUUCAGCAGUGGAUGUCUAGGCUCGCACAUCGAUGAAGAACGCUGCGAACUGCGAUACGUAAUGCGAAUUGCAGGAUUCAGUGAGUCAUCGAAAUUUUUGAACGCAUAUUGCACUUUCGGGUUAUGCCUGGAAGUAUGCCUGUAUCAGUUGUCCGUACAUCAAACUUGCCAUUUCUUUUUCU
rnacentral:rRNA from 1 species